rnacentral:rRNA from 1 species
GACGUAGGGCGCGAGCGUUGUCCGGAUUUAUUGGGCGUAAAGAGCUCGUAGGCGGCUCGUUGCGUCGGCUGUGAAAACCCGCAGCUCAACUGUGGGCUUGCAGCUGAUACGGGCGGGCUGGGAUUCGGUAGGGGAGACGGGAAUUCCUGGUGUAGCGGUGAAAUGCGCAGAUAUCAGGAGGAACACCGGUGGCGAAGGCGGGUCUCUGGGCCGAUAUCGACGCUGAGGAGCGAAAGCGUGGGGAGCAAACAGG